AGAGACUGCUUGCUUAUAAAGCUUGGCUAGAAUAAAAUUCUAUCGUAUAUCCGUAGCGUUUUAAAUGUGUACAUAACCGACAUUUGGCGUAUGAACUGAAGAGACA
rnacentral:snoRNA from 1 species